CACCAUCCCGCUGAGCUGCUCUUGCAAACCGUCUGGUACAGUAGCUCGGUCUCCGGCCCGACUGGGGAGCGAGUGUCCAGGCGGGUCAGUGAGGCCGGGUGUGCAGUUAAGAGCGGCGCUGGACCGCACAUCUACCGAGACAGCGUGCGCGCCUCUGGAGUAAUCCAACAGAAGCAAGUCUGAUUAUUCAGAGCAGUCACUGUUGUCACAGCCGCCUGCUAAUAGCGCUACAGUAUUUAUUUGAGCGUCAGUCAGCAGCCUCAUAGUUAUUUCUUGUCCGUACGCAGGCAGGGAAUAAGGUAUCAGGAGAAUGUUGUUUUUCAGCCAGCAUCGGGUAUGAAAAUUGCUGGGUCGCAGUUGCGGGAUGUAUUAAAUUGAUUACUGUUCGUCUUAUUAGGUGACGGGAGAUCCAAUUUGCAAUCUUGAGAAGCGGCGUCCCGAGCCUCCUCCCCUCGGCGCGUGCCAGGCGCGUUCAUAUCCGGCGCUCGGGCUGAGACACCGUCGGCUUCGAUUUUCCACACAUGGCCUGUAUCGCGCCUGAGAUCUCAGUAAUGUGGACAUUUCGAGCGGAAAUUACCGAAACGUUCUUCUACGUGUCCAAACCGAAAGAAAAAAAGCGUACCCCGCCCUGCGUCCGCUGCCCGCGACCUUGAAUGGAUGGACGGCUCACUUUCCCUCGAGCGUGACAGGCGUCGAGCCGAGUGGCGCUGCCUGGCUGUGAACAGCGGAAAGGCGGGGAGCUGUCCGAGGUGCUGAAAGUCUAGACGGAAAUUCAAACUCGGUUUCUGCAGGGGGGCGACUGUUUUCUAUUUUGUUCUUCAACAUGGGUAGCCAAUUAAGCAAUUAUUCUGUUUUCUUAAUGUGAUCAUGUAUUUUUCUUAAAAAUGUAUCAUUUUCUAAUUGCUCAAAAAACAUUCACUUCAAAGGUGGUACAGGUACGUACGAAACACCUCGGAGCUUGCUUAGAAAGCACAUGGCUAUCAGGCAGUGUAUUAAAUAAUGACACUGUCAUUUUAACUUGACGGAUGAGGUGAAACACAAGCCGGUAGCCCCUGGUCUACUCCAGGAAUUGAGUUUGCGAGCCCAGCAUAGACAUUCAGCAUCGCGGCUUAUUGAAAGCGCAGGCGGACCGUUCAAGUCACGUCGGUGUUUGAGUGCGUCCCCUCCACGUUUCUCCUGCAUCAGUCUGUCCCUCCUGCUGACUGGCUGUCCCGGCAGCAUCGUCCUUAUGCGUCACUAAAGCCCAGACAAAAACAGAUGAAUGUGCGAUAUUGACGCUUUUUAACAAAAUCCUCUGGUGUCAAAGUGAAGCCAACACGACCGGCGUCCCCUGUCCUGUGCAUGAUAUUAAUCAUACAAAGAGACAAUCGCAAUAUGCACUUAAAUCGUAGAAAAAACGCCUAUACGCAUAAUUCUUUGUGAGUGAAAGAUGACGUGAGACAAAAUGAAAUUUUGCGACUUUUGACAGAUAUAAAGGGAGACCCUACAAAGUGUGGAAAAACCUACAAGUUAGUUCUGAAAGCUCUCGUCUCUGACUCUUUAAUUCCUCCUGCUAUCUCGCCACAAAUGAGAGGUUUUGAUCUUGUAAUUUACCGCUACUCCCUUAAUGCAAUGCACAAAGAUCAGUCGAUGUGCCACCUUUGCUCCCAGAGCAGGAGGAGAAAGGAGAGGUGACUCCACACGGGCUGUGAAUGAUGCCGGGGCCCCAUGAGAACACACUCAAAUAAGAAACACAAGACAGUUCUGUUCCUCCGCUUUCCCCCUCCAGCCAAAUGUCAUAUCCCACACACGUCAGCAAAGCACUGGAGAUAUUUUCACUUAUUAAGUGGUGCUGAAACUAGAUCAGUUCCGAAACACCCCGAGCUCCCAGCUGGUGGCGGAAAUACACAGAGAAACAGGCCUCUUACAGACACGCGGCUAAUAGUUCCUUCACUUGCUAACGUCGGAAAAUAAAUCACAAUGUGUCAGAGGCGUUUUGUUCUAGGCUGGGAGGUAGACGGCAGAACUCAAGCGCUGAAGGUUGGAUUGAUUUCAUUUCACUGUCUAUUUCUCCACCUCUCUCCCUGUCAGUCAGUUUAACCGGGAGAUUCUCUGCUGUUUGUUUCAGGAGAUGCUUAAGUGGCUGUACAGAUAUACCGUCUUCUGUACCAACAGUUCGCACAGCCUCUUAUCUUACAUCACCGUCUCUGGGUGUGUGUGCAUGCUGUUACGAAGAUGCACAAUACCACACCUUGGAUACUUCGGAAUUGCCAGCAAUUUGACACUAUCAAGCCGUUUCGCUUGAGCCUGAAUCCCGAUGCAUUUAGGUCACUGCUCUUUUAGUACAGCAUUCCCUCGGAAAUGCUAUUUUGCAGUGAUGCUCCUUGUUUGCUGUAAGGCACAAGGACGCUGCUGCCAGGAGCAGCUACAGAGUAGGAGAGUAGAAGGGAAUGUUGGAGCCGCGCACGGACUGGCAUUAUUGCGCCGCCCUGUUGGUGAAGCUGGGAAGCGCCUAAACCAACACAACUCAAAAAAGCACCAGAGCACCUUCGUGCCGUCAUGGUGAUUCAUGAUGCAGCUAUGCGCGGGGAGACCGUUUAACGGUGUAGAAAAUGAUCCUGCAACCUGACCGACUUCAUCCCUCUAAGCUUCUGUCCAUUUCGUACAUUUUCGAAGCAGCAUGAGAUCAUUAAUCUUAUAUGCUGCAAGUGGUUCGACGGACCAGGGCAGCAUUUCCUACGCCUGUUGCGAAUGAAUCCAGGCGGAGCCCAUCGUCAAAGCUGCUGUCACCGAGACGCGCCACCGCUAGCCCAGGCCCGGACGUUGAUGGAAACUUGUCUGCCGACGGCUUCGGUUCGACAAUCAGCGUCUUUCAAGGAUCAACCCAGUCAUCUUGCUUACUCGUUCCCAGUGUCUCCACUCUUUCACUAAUACAUCAUUUUAAACCAUUUUCUUUCUUUGAAAGGCCCCAUUGAAGGGCCCUGGUUCGACAGUGUUUUCAGGUGAAAAUCCUUUUCCGAUUUGAAUUCUGUGUAGUAAGCUGCAACUUUGUCAUUUCAGAGGUCUGUUGGCCUAUUUCAAUUUCUUUCAUUGCCAUAUUUUUGGAUCUUAUGUUAUACUGUUACCGGCAUUUUAUUACGCUUAAAGCCAAUGCGUCUGGGCUUUGAUCUUUACUUACUCACCAUUAUUACCAGAAAAAGAGCAGAGCUCAUGAGUUUUUUGAGUGUCGCCUAUGCAUUUUAAUCACUGCCCCACUGCAGUUACAGCUCAACGCUGCAAACCCUUUGUUGUAAUUUAAGUAUCGCCCGACUAUUACACUGUUCAAACUGAUUUUUUCUCAUCCUGUAUUCCUAAUA